GCUGACCGAUUCUACCUGUCAGAUGAGACCUUCCAUGUCAUUACCAAAACUGUCAUCUAUAUCCUCACUUACCUUCAGAAAUCAGGAUCAUCCUUUGGGAAUGAUCAGGAGAAGCAAACAGUUUUCUUGCAUGGGAAGCCAAAUAUCUACCUUGCAGCCAACAGGGAGCAUUUCCUGGCCAAAUAAGGAUGACGCCUCCCAGACUUCAGGCAGAGCUGCUGUAAUACAUCUCCAUCACACACUCCCCUCUGUACCGGCUCCACCUGGUCUCCCAACUGAUGGCUAUAAUGUGUAGCGUCCGAAAGAAAAAUAAUCAGAGAAUAAAGAGCCUAGUUACCCUGUUCUGACAGCUUUCUAAUAGACCAACCAGCCACAUCGCUCUAUCACACUGGGGGCAUUAUGACAGGAGAGGGGGAGAGGACACCAGGGCUCUUUGUAUGUGUGUGUAUGUUUAUGUGUGUGUGUGUGUGUGUGUGUGUGUGUGUGCUGUGAUUAGCUAGUGGUCUCCCAGUGCUGCCAGGUGAGCUUUGGAGUAUUUCAAGUCAAGCAAUCGAAUAAUGAAAUGUACACAACGAGCAUGUAUUACAUGUUGCCGCAAUCAGAUGAAAACCCUUUAUCUUAAAAAACUUUUCAGAAACAAAUUCACAAACUAGAGAAAAGAGCCUUGUUUUGAGCUCCACCACUAUGCAUGUUUGUUAUAAUGUCUCAUCAGUCUAAACCACGAACCAUGGCAAUAAGAAACAACAUGGAGAUAUCAGUUAACACUCCCAAAAAAAAAAAAAAAAAAAAGUUUUAGUGUUUCUGAUCUCUUUCAGUGCCGUAGAUGUGAUGGUGUCAAGUUUGGAUCGAUUUCACUGCAAAAGGUUGUUUGAAAGCCGUUGUCGUGCUGUAUUGUAGCAGAAAGAGUCUCAUUUUGAGACAAUGUGUGUUGCACUGCAUUGUAGCAGUAGUUUUCAGUGGUGUGCGGUAUUCAGUAAAGCCCUCCACCACACCCACCACAUGGACCGGUGCCUGGAAGAACUCAGACAAAGUUCCAGUUUUGCAGAGUGGGUGUGGGUCAAAUAAUUGUCCAAAAAAUACUAAUGAGGAGAUCAGACUAUUAAAGUGCAAUUGAUGUCA